GCCACGUGGCCUUUGGGAAAUGGCGGCGGCUGCGGCCGGGUCGGGCUCCGGGAGAGGCGUGCGCGGGCCCUGGGACGGUCACUCGGCUGUAAUGGGCCUUCCCCCAGGGCGCUUGCGGCCCCUGUGAUUCCGGUGAGAUUCGAGACAGAGGAGAUGCUGCUGCACCACAUCCCCAGGAGAGCUCCUGCCUCACUUCUGCUCUCGGGGGUGUGACUGGGAGACACCUCCACGCCGAGAGUGGCACUUGGCAUGGCUUCAGUCCUCCUGUUGCUCAGAGCUCCUGAUUAGGGACACCUGCCCCUGGCUCGGAAUGCAGGGCGCAAUAAUUCCAGGUCCAACCACGAGAUGUUCCUGCUGCAGGUGUUUCCCAGUCCAGCUUGCUGAACCUCCAGCUCUGACCAUGGCAUGUUCUUUGUUCCAGCUCUGGCUCUGAGAUGUUCCAGUUGAUGGCUGCUCCAGUUCCUUCCAGGUCCCUGAGGUGGGUUCCUAUCUCUGCAGUCACCGAUGCUACCAAUUUUCCUGGAGUCUGCCGUUUGAUGUUGAAGAGCAGCAGCUGGAAGAUGUGUUGAAACAUCCUGUUCGGUGUAGUGUUUCAAGCAGGGCUUGCAGUCAGCAUGUCAGCUGAGGAGUGUGUGACAGUGGGAGCGCGUGAGUGUCCGUGUGUGUCUGGGAGAGUUUGUGUCUGUCUGCUGCUGCUCGUGUCUGCCUGUGCGAGUGUGUGUGCUGACUGCUUCUAGCCUUGUGAGCAGGAUUUUUGCCUUUCAGGUGUUUUAACUCAUUUUUAAAAUGAGAAUAAAAAGUCCCCAGCCAAUGGGUUGGGUUUUUUGCCCUCA